GGCGUGCCUAAUACAUGCAAGUCGAGCGAAUCGAUGGGAGCUUGCUCCCUGAGAUUAGCGGCGGACGGGUGAGUAACACGUGGGCAACCUGCCUAUAAGACUGGGAUAACUUCGGGAAACCGGAGCUAAUACCGGAUACGUUCUUUUCUCGCAUGAGAGAAGAUGGAAAGACGGUUUACGCUGUCACUUAUAGAUGGGCCCGCGGCGCAUUAGCUAGUUGGUGAGGUAAUGGCUCACCAAGGCGACGAUGCGUAGCCGACCUGAGAGGGUGAUCGGCCACACUGGGACUGAGACACGGCCCAGACUCCUACGGGAGGCAGCAGUAGGGAAUCUUCCGCAAUGGACGAAAGUCUGACGGAGCAACGCCGCGUGAACGAAGAAGGCCUUCGGGUCGUAAAGUUCUGUUGUUAGGGAAGAACAAGUACCAGAGUAACUGCUGGUACCUUGACGGUACCUAACCAGAAAGCCACGGCUAACUACGUGCCAGCAGCCGCGGUAAUACGUAGGUGGCAAGCGUUGUCCGGAAUUAUUGGGCGUAAAGCGCGCGCAGGUGGUUCUUUAAGUCUGAUGUGAAAGCCCACGGCUCAACCGUGGAGGGUCAUUGGAAACUGGGGAACUUGAGUGCAGAAGAGGAAAGUGGAAUUCCAAGUGUAGCGGUGAAAUGCGUAGAGAUUUGGAGGAACACCAGUGGCGAAGGCGACUUUCUGGUCUGUAACUGACACUGAGGCGCGAAAGCGUGAGGAGCAAACAGGAUUAGAUACCCUGGUAGU
rnacentral:rRNA from 2 species